AGUGAACGCUGGCGGUAGGCCUAACACAUGCAAGUCGAACGGCAGCACAGUAAGAGCUUGCUCUUACGGGUGGCGAGUGGCGGACGGGUGAGGAAUACAUCGGAAUCUACUUUUUCGUGGGGGAUAACGUAGGGAAACUUACGCUAAUACCGCAUACGACCUACGGGUGAAAGCAGGGGAUCUUCGGACCUUGCGCGAUUGAAUGAGCCGAUGUCGGAUUAGCUAGUUGGCGGGGUAAAGGCCCACCAAGGCGACGAUCCGUAGCUGGUCUGAGAGGAUGAUCAGCCACACUGGAACUAAGACACGGUCCAGACUCCGACGGGAGGCAGCGGUGGGGAAUAUUGGACAAUGGGCGCAAGCCUGAUCCAGCCAUACCGCGUGGGUGAAGAAGGCCUUCGGGUUGUAAAGCCCUUUUGUUGGGAAAGAAAAGCAGCAGGUUAAUACCCCGCUGUUCUGACGGUACCCAAAGAAUAAGCACCGGCUAACUUCGUG
rnacentral:rRNA from 1 species